GUCAAAUUCAUCCUUCGUGAAAAAAUUACUAUUUUCUUUUCAAUUUUUUUUCAGGAUUUUGUCUUGAACAAAUUAAUUUGAUAAAUUUAAAAAAAAACUAAAAAUUUCCAUCGAUCCAUCUAAUCGAAUUAAAACAACAAUGACAACUCUUCGCCCAUUCACUUGUGACGACAUGUUUAAAUUCAACAACGUGAAUUUUGAUCCAUUGACUGAAACUUAUGGUUUAACUUUCUAUACGCAAUAUCUGGCCCGCUGGCCAGAAUACUUCCAAGUCGCUGAAUCACCAAGUGGAGAAAUAAUGGGUUAUAUAAUGGGAAAGACGGAAGGACUAAGAGAAAACUGGCAUGGACAUGUAACCUGUUUGACCGUCUCCCCUGAUUACCGACGUUUGGGUCUAGCUGCUCUUUUGAUGAACUUCCUUGAAGAUGUUUCUGAGAAAAAACGUGCUUAUUUUGUUGAUUUAUUCGUCCGAGUGAGCAACAAAGUUGCUAUAAAUAUGUACACAAAUCUGGGCUAUAUAAUUUAUCGAACUGUCCUGGAAUAUUAUUCAGGAGAUCGAGACGAAGAUGCUUACGAUAUGCGGAAGGCUCUGUCGCGAGACGUGGAAAAGAAAUCUGUCAUACCAUUCACGCAUCCAGUACGACUUGAGGAUGUUGACUGAUAUUGAAUUUAAUUUUUAGUUGUUUUUUCCUAUAAUUGUUGUCUUGAGUUUCUAACAUUUAAAAAAACUAAAGAAUCAGAAAAACAAAAUAAUAUCCAAACAUAACAAAAUAUUUAUUUAAAAUUGUAUAAUUUACUAACUCUUCGUAUGUCUCUCCUAAUUAUGUUCUUAAUAUUCGUUGGUUUUGCAAGAAGCAAGGAUUUGUAUUUUUCUAUGAAAUAUGUAUUACACUUGCCGAAUUAAGGAAAUUGACAAACUUUGCUAAUUAAGAAUUAUGAAUAGUAAAAACUAAGCACAUAAUGUAUGCAAUAUUGAAAUAAAUUACAAUACAUAGUAGACUUGAA